rnacentral:rRNA from 1 species
UACGUAGGCAGCAAGCGUUGUUCGGAGUUACUGGGCGUAAAGGGUGCGUAGGUGGGUUGGUAAGUCAGUGGUGAAAUCUCCGGGCUUAACCUGGAAACUGCCAUUGAUACUAUCAAUCUUGAAUACCUUGGAGGUGAGCGGAAUAUGUCAUGUAGCGGUGAAAAUGCUUAGAUAUGACAUAGAACACCAAUUGCGAAGGCAGCUCACUACACGGUCAUUGACACUGAGGCACGAAA